rnacentral:rRNA from 1 species
AAAUUGAAGAGUUUGAUCAUGGCUCAGAUUGAACGCUGGCGGCAGGCCUAACACAUGCAAGUCGAACGGUAGCACAGAGAGCUUGCUCUCGGGUGACGAGUGGCGGACGGGUGAGUAAUGUCUGGGAAACUGCCUGAUGGAGGGGGAUAACUACUGGAAACGGUGGCUAAUACCGCAUAACGUCGCAAGACCAAAGAGGGGGACCUUCGGGCCUCUUGCCAUCAGAUGUGCCCAGAUGGGAUUAGCUGGUUGGUGAGGUAACGGCUCACCAAGGCGACGAUCCCUAGCUGGUCUGAGAGG